AAUUUGAAGGUUGGGCGACGGCAGCUGAGACCAUCUAAAGUCCAUUGGAACAUGGCGCCAGGGAGGGUGAGAGCCCCGUCCGGAUGGGUCGCAGACGCCAUGUGUUGUCCUUCCAAAGAGUCGAGUUGUUUGGGAAUGCAGCUCUAAGUGGGUGGUAAAUUCCAUCUAAAGCUAAAUAUUGGCGAGAGACCGAUAGCGAACAAGUACAGUGAUGGAAAGAUGAAAAGCACUUUGAAAAGAGAGUGAAACAGUACGUGAAAUUGUUGGAAGGGAAGGGCUUGCAAGCAGACACAACCUCUCUUUUUGAGGUUGGGCCAGCAUCGGGUCGCCGGGGACGGAUAACUCCAGAAGAAUGUGGCCAGGUUCUCUUUGAGGCUUGGUGUUUAUAGCUUCUGGCACUACGUCCACCGCGGCCCGAGGCGUGCGACAUCUUUGUCAAGGAUGCUGGCGUAAUGGUUGCAAGUCGCCC
rnacentral:rRNA from 1 species